rnacentral:lncRNA from 1 species
GUGGAAGGGCGUGCUAUGGAAAGAAACAGGUCAGAUAAAUGGUCUGAGGGCCAUCACAGACAAAGCAAACAAUGGAGCCAGCAUCCUUUCCUCAACAACAGGGAAUGGAGAAAUUUAAACAUAUAGUCUUUCUGCACAAAAGGAUUUGCUAAAUAUGCAGACACAAUUUAAUUUGCUUUGAUUGAUCGUGAUCAUCUCAUGUAGUGAACUGUGACUUGGAACCCACCAGAGCAUCCCAUCAAAACUGCUUCAGUCUGUGGGUCUCAAAGCCAUCUACCAAUAAUACACCUUCAACUACAUCAGAGAAUAUUAAUAGUUCACUUGAAGUAACAUUUUACAACUUAGGAAUUUUCACGUUCCCAGGUUCAGGAAGUUGCUUACAUUAUAAAACAAAGCCUCCUUGGAGUGUUUCCCAAAUCGUUUGUAGAGAGUCUCUUGGAAUAUCCCCAUCCUUGCUGACAUCAGAAGAGCAAAAGUCAAUGCCCCAAUACCUAAAAAACAAACAUCAGGUGACAAGAUGUCUGCAUUUGUUCAUUUCCAGAUGUUUUUCUUGAAGAACAUUAUUGUUUAAAGUCCUGCAAAUAUUAUGAACUAAUUGUAGAACAUGUACAAAACUGUAAAAAGAAAUAAAAAUACAUUAUUACCA